rnacentral:rRNA from 1 species
UACGUAGGGUGCGAGCGUUAAUCGGAAUUACUGGGCGUAAAGGGCUCGUAGGCGGCCAACUAAGUCGGAUGUGAAAUCCCCAGGCUCAACCUGGGAACUGCAUCCGAUACUGGAUGGCUUGAAUUCGGGAGAGGGAUGCAGAAUUCCAGGUGUAGCGGUGAAGUGCGUAGAUAUCUGGAGGAAUACCGGUGGCGAAGGCGGCAUCCUGGACCGACAUUGACGCUGAAGCGCGAAAGCAUGGGGAGCGAACGGG